ensembl:lncRNA
GUUUCUAAGUGCCGGUUAACCGCUAAAACCCUGGCCGCCGCCGCCGCCGCCGCCGCCGCCGCCCGCACGGGCCCUGCAGAACGUAGUCACAGCUGACGAAUAAGAGAGACAUCAGCACUGUUUUUCUGAGGACAAUGGAUCCAAAAAAAGAAAAGAAAAGAGAAAAAGAAGGGCUGGAUUCACGGAUUGUCAAGUUCUGCCGUGCGAGUCAGCCACGUCUUCUUCUCACAGGAGCACCUGAACAGGCACCAGCUGGCAGAGUGAGAGAUGGCUCCACUGCCAAGGAGAGGAGACUUGAUGGAAGCCCGGAUUCAUUAAAACUUAAUUAAUAUGCAUCAUUAUGUAAAUGAGGUUGCAGUUAAUGAGUUUUUAAAAGAAGCAUUCCUUAAUUAGUUCACUUUUAAUGGCAUCAUCAUUUAUCUUUUUCUUCUUUGAAGCAGAAUGAUGCGCUCGAUGCGAAGCGGUUCUAAAAUGCUAAUCUAUGUUUUAUCAUUUUAUUUUUCUGAUUUCAAUGUGAUCGCCAAGACAUCCAGAAUCUUGUCACUAAUGAGCCACGUUUGUGUUAUAAUGUCACUUAUUUCAAUUUAAGAUUAUGCAAAUUUUCAAAGUAGUGAAGAAAUUCACAAAACGGAAUAUCCUUUAAAAUCAUAUAGAAUUUACUAAUUAAAAACCAAUAAAAAAAAAGUGUUUUGCCCACAGGAAGUUAAACUAUCACCUUUAGCUACUUGAAAACUCAAUCUUUUUUUUCUCCAAUUGGGGAAAAAAUAAAUUAUCUCAGCCAUUUUCUUUCCCAGAGAAGAAAACACUGAGUAGGUGUCAGAAGACAAAACCAGUCGACUUCUGACAAUGUCACACCUCUAGAUAAUUGGCCCUCGAUACUUCCUGUUAAAAGCAUGCAAACUUCCUGUUUUAGAAAGGUCCCAAUAAAAACUUUCUUCACAGUGUUGCACCUCAGCCAACACCAUAUAUUUCUUUAUUUAUUCUCUGUUAUGCCUAUUCAUUCCCCCUUCCCCCCCCCCACAAACACACACAUACACACAUAAACACACUGACACACACAGCUAUUAAAAUGUUAGGAAAUACUGCAAAAUGCAUUUUGACCUGGUUAUAAUGAUGAAAAUAGAAAAUGUACAAGUUAAAUAAAAUUAUAAUGACAAUAAUAGUAAAUUGCUUCGUGCUUUUAUUUUAUUUUAUCAAGUAAUAUGUAUAGUUUUGAUAUUUUGUUAAUGCUGUUUGUUUACGUGAAAAUAAAGAGUCCAAUAUCCAAAUACAUCUGUGAAAAAGUGUGUGUGUGUGUGUGUGUGUGAGCGUGUGUGUAUGUGAUUUUGUG